CUUUAUUUCAGAGCUAUUUAAUUUGCAACAUGUUGCCAUUAUAAUCUCCUGGCAUUGGUGUAACAUCUAAGACUCAGCUGAUUGCUUUAAGAACUCAGCGCUGAUAUGCUCUAUUGGAGUGACAGAGAAUGCUGGGUGACCUUUGUAGGGUUACUUAUUGUCUUCAUGAAAAUUUUCUCCGUCUGAACUAGAGAAAAUACCUGCUGAGCUAAGGACUAUGGUGAAGACAAUGCGUGUCAAACAUUUUAUGUGCUACUUCUCAGAAAGAAACCAGCCAUGAUAAAUAGACUUUCAGAACAAGUUUUCUAAAAUUCACCAUGUGCUAAACUUUUCCAAGUCCAUCUAAUCUUCAUCAUGUUUUUGCACUCUAGAUAAGCCAUGAUGAUGAGUGAGAGUUGGUUCUGGGUAAAAUACUGCAGUGGAUAGUUUAAAUUUCUGCCUUGACUUUUUGUGUCUUUCUCUUGUCCUCUAUGGUAUGCCUAUGGAUUUCAACUUCUAUUUACUCUGACAUGCAUAGCACCUGAUAUAAUUCUUCCUUUCUCUAUAAAGACUGCAUAUGACCAA